rnacentral:rRNA from 1 species
CACGUAGGGCGCAAGCGUUGUCCGGAAUUAUUGGGCGUAAAGAGCUCGUAGGCGGUCUGUUGCGUCCGCUGUGAAAACCCGGGGCUUAACCCUGGGCUGGCAGUGGAUACGGGCAGACUAGAGGCAGGUAGGGGAGAAUGGAAUUCCCGGUGUAGCGGUGAAAUGCGCAGAUAUCGGGAGGAACACCGGUGGCGAAGGCGGUUCUCUGGGCCUGACCUGACGCUGAGGAGCGAAAGCGUGGGGAGCGAACAGG